AUUGAACGCUGGCGGCAGGCCUAACACAUGCAAGUCGAGCGGAUGAAGGGAGCUUGCUCCUGGAUUCAGCGGCGGACGGGUGAGUAAUGCCUAGGAAUCUGCCUGGUAGUGGGGGAUAACGUCCGGAAACGGGCGCUAAUACCGCAUACGUCCUGAGGGAGAAAGUGGGGGAUCUUCGGACCUCACGCUAUCAGAUGAGCCUAGGUCGGAUUAGCUAGUUGGAGGGGUAAAGGCCUACCAAGGCGACGAUCCGUAACUGGUCUGAGAGGAUGAUCAGUCACACUGGAACUGAGACACGGUCCAGACUCCUACGGGAGGCAGCAGUGGGGAAUAUUGGACAAUGGGCGAAAGCCUGAUCCAGCCACGCCGCGUGUGUGAAGAAGGUCUUCGGAUUGUAAAGCACUUUAAGUUGGGAGGAAGGGCAGUAAGUUAAUACCUUGCUGUUUUGACGUUACCAACAGAAUAAGCACCGGCUAACUUCGUG
rnacentral:rRNA from 1 species